GAUGAACGCUGGCGGCGUGCCUAAUACAUGCAAGUCGAGCGAACGGACGAGAAGCUUGCUUCUCUGAUGUUAGCGGCGGACGGGUGAGUAACACGUGGAUAACCUACCUAUAAGACUGGGAUAACUUCGGGAAACCGUAGCUAAUACCGGAUAAUAUUUUGAACCGCAUGGUUCAAAAGUGAAAGACGGUCUUGCUGUCACUUAUAGAUGGAUCCGCGCUGCAUUAGCUAGUUGGUAAGGUAACGGCUUACCAAGGCAACGAUGCAUAGCCGACCUGAGAGGGUGAUCGGCCACACUGGAACUGAGACACGGUCCAGACUCCUACGGGAGGCAGCAGUAGGGAAUCUUCCGCAAUGGGCGAAAGCCUGACGGAGCAUCGCCGCGUGAGUGAUGAAGGUCUUCGGAUCGUAAAACUCUGUUAUUAGGGAAGAACAUAUGUGUAAGUAACUGUGCACAUCUUGACGGUACCUAAUCAGAAAGCCACGGCUAACUACGUG
rnacentral:rRNA from 1 species